AUUAAUUGGUGGUGGCACUUCCCAAAUUAGCGGGUGGUGUGGAACUGUGUGCUCAGAAAACUGAGACAAGAUUCAACAAGAAAGCCCGCAUACACUGCGGGCUUUCUUGU
rfam:Shewanella pealeana ATCC 700345, complete genome.